UACGUAGGGUGCAAGCGUUAAUCGGAAUUACUGGGCGUAAAGCGUGCGCAGGCGGUUUUGUAAGACAGAGGUGAAAUCCCCGGGCUCAGCCUGGGAACUGCCUUUGUGACUGCAAGGCUUGAGUGCGGCAGAGGGGGAUGGAAUUCCGCGUGUAGCAGUGAAAUGCGUAGAUAUGCGGAGGAACACCGAUGGCGAAGGCAAUCCCCUGGGCCUGCACUGACGCUCAUGCACGAAAGCGUGGGGAGCAAACAGG
rnacentral:rRNA from 1 species